rnacentral:rRNA from 1 species
UAGCAAUACAUCAGCGGCAGACGGGAGAGUAACACGUGGGAACGCGCCCUUCGGUUCGGAAUAACUCAGGGAAACUUGAGCUAAUACCGGAUACGCCCUAACGGGGAAAGAUUUAUUGCCGAAGGAACGGCCCGCGUCGGAUUAGCUAGUUGGUGAGGUAAUGGCUCACCAAGGCGACGAUCCGUAGCUGGUCUGAGAGGAUGACCAGCCUCACUGGGACUGAGACACGGCCCAGACUCCUACGGGAGGCAGCAGUGGGGAAUAUUGGACAAUGGGCGCAAGCCUGAUCCAGCCAUGCCGCGUGGGUGAUGAAGGCCCUAGGGUUGUAAAGCCCUUUCGGCGGGGAAGAUAAUGACGGUACCCGCAGAAGAAGCCCCGGCUAACUUCGUGCCAGCAGCCGCGGUAAUACGAAGGGGGCUAGCGUUGCUCGGAAUUACUGGGCGUAAAGCGCACGUAGGCGGUUUCUUAAGUCGGGGGUGAAAUCCUGGAGCUCAACUCCAGAACUGCCUUCGAUACUGGGAAACUUGAGUUCGGGAGAGGUGAGUGGAACUGCGAGUGUAGAGGUGAAAUUCGUAGAUAUUCGCAAGAACACCAGUGGCGAAGGCGGCUCACUGGCCCGAUA